AUACUUACCUGGCAGGGGAGAUACCAUGAUCACGAAGGUAGUUUUCCCAGGGCGUAUCUAUUGCACUCCGGAUGUGCUGACCCCUGCGAUUUCCCCAAAUGUAGGAAACUGAACUGCAUAAUUUGUGGUAGUGGGGGACUGCGUUCGCGCUUUUUCCUG
ensembl:snRNA U1 U1 spliceosomal RNA